rnacentral:rRNA from 1 species
UACGUAGGGUGCAAGCGUUGUCCGGAAUUAUUGGGCGUAAAGAGCUCGUAGGCGGUUCAGUCAGUUGGGUGUGAAAACUCCGGGCUUAACUCGGAGAGGCCACCCAAUACUGCUGUGACUUGAGUCCGGUAGGGGAGUGGGGAAUUCCUGGUGUAGCGGUGAAAUGCGCAGAUAUCAGGAGGAACACCGGUGGCGAAGGCGACACUCUGGGCCGGUACUGACGCUGAGGAGCGAAAGCGUGGGGAGCAAACAGG